rnacentral:rRNA from 1 species
CCUACGGGAGGCUGCAGUAGGGAAUCUUCCACAAUGGGCGAAAGCCUGAUGGAGCAACGCCGCGUGGGUGAAGAAGGUCUUCGGAUCGUAAAACUCUGUUGUUAGAGAAGAAAGUGCGUGAGAGUAACUGUUCACGUUUCGACGGUAUCUAACCAGAAAGCCACGGCUAACUACGUGCCAGCAGCCGCGGUAAUACGUAGGUGGCAAGCGUUAUCCGGAUUUAUUGGGCGUAAAGGGAACGCAGGCGGUCUUUUAAGUCUGAUGUGAAAGCCUUCGGCUUAACCGGAGUAGUGCAUUGGAAACUGGGAGACUUGAGUGCAGAAGAGGAGAGUGGAACUCCAUGUGUAGCGGUGAAAUGCGUAGAUAUAUGGAAGAACACCAGUGGCGAAAGCGGCUCUCUGGUCUGUAACUGACGCUGACGUUCGAAAGCGUGGGUAGCAAACAGGAUUAGAUACCCUUGUAGUC